ensembl:lncRNA
GGCCCGGGGCCUGGGACCGCCCGGGCGCAUGCUCCCGCCGCACCUGCCGCCGCGGGUUCGCCCAAGGGAGCGCGGCGGGCGUGGGACGGCUUCCACCUGCUGGGAGGGUGGGUGCGGCUUGCUUCGCGUCGAUUCUCCAGAAGGAAGGUCCCAAACCUUACUUCUGUCUGCCUGCCCCCAACCUCCCGCUCCCGGCCGAAAAGAAGAUUGUCCUUCAAAAUAAAAGGAGACUCUUCCCCCUGGCCCCAGAUGUCCAAGGACCCUGUUGUAGAUGCUUGAGAUGAAGCAGAAGCAGGAGAUGCUGCUGAGGCCCUGCCCUUAGGGAUCUUAACGACUGGCUGGUCACAAAGCCUUGUCCCCAUUUGAGGAGGAGCAUUAAAUAAUUUAAGCUGGCUUACUUAUUAAAAAUAGGGCUUCCUUGGUGGCUUAGACAGUAAAGAAUCUGCCUACCAAUGCAGGAGACCCGACUUAGAUCCCUGGGUCAGGAAGAUUCCCCUGGAAUAGGAAAUGGCAACCCACUCUAGUAUUCUUGCCUGGAGAAUUCCAUGAACAGAAGAGCCUGGUGGACUACAGUCUGUGGGGUCGCAGAGAGGCAGACACGACUGAGCGGCUAGCACUUACAGUUAAAAGUUGCUUGGGGGGGUAUAUGUAUACUUAGAGCUGAUUCACCUUAUUGUACUGCAGGAAAUAAUAAAAUAUUGUAAAGCAAUUAUCCUUCAAUUAAAAAUAAAUUUUAAAUGGAAUACUACUCAGCCAUAAAAAGGACGGAGUAGGGUCCUUUUUAAAGGACCUUUUAAAAGGGAUUUGCAUCCCUUCUGGUGAGUUAGAUGAACCUGUUAUGCAGCAGGAAGUCAGAGAAAAACAAAUACCCUAUAUUGAUGCACAUUUAUGGAAUCUAGAGAAAUGAUAGUGAUGAACCUGUCGGCAGGACAGGAAUAGAGAUGUAGACAUAGAGAGCAGAUUUAUGAACACAGCUGGGGAAGGAGAGGGUAGGAUGAACUGAGAGAGUAGUAUUGAAACAUACAUUACCAUCUGUAAGACAGAUAGCUAGUGGGAAGCUGCUGUAUGACAUGGGGAGCUCAACCGGAUGCUCUGUGACAACCUAGAAGGGUGGGG